AGACGUAGGGGGCGAGCGUUGUCCGGAAUUACUGGGCGUAAAGAGCACGUAGGCGGGAUUUUAAGUCAGGUGUGAAAGACCGUGGCUCAACCACGGGGUUGCACAUGAAACUGGAAUUCUUGAGGGCAGGAGAGGAAAGUGGAAUUCCUGGUGUAGCGGUGAAAUGCGUAGAAAUCAGGAGGAACACCGGUGGCGAAGGCGACUUUCUGGACUGACCCUGACGCUGAGGUGCGAAAGCGUGGGUAGCAAACAGGAUUAGAUACCCUGGUAGUCCACGCUGUAAACGAUGGAUACUAGGUGUGGGAGGUAUCGACCCCUUCCGUGCCGCAGCAAACGCAAUAAGUAUCCCGCCUGGCGAGUACGGUCGCAAGGCUGAA
rnacentral:rRNA from 1 species